UGAGAGGUGAAGGGAUUUGCCCACAAUCACAGAGGUUUGGGGUAGAGUCCCAGUUAGAAUUCCAGUCCCCUGUGCUUUCCUCUGCCCCGCCAGGCUUUGUGACUCCUACUUGUUCCUGUUUCUCUUCCAGGAAGAGACACUUUAGUAAGUGCAGUUAUUUCCUGGACUUUUGCCACCAUCCUUCCCUCAUGAGCCGUGAGGAGCAUACAGGUCACAACAUACACUAGAUGACUAAUUGUGGGCUCAAACUGUCACCAGCCACACUGCAGAGCAGAGCUCCAUCCUUGAAAGCCAAAUGCCAUAUUCUGGGUAUUUUUUGUUUUUGUUUUCCUCAAUGGGGCUAUCUUUUUGUAUGUUACUAUUACGAAAGUAAUAUAUGUUCCUUAUAAAACACUAAACAUCCUGGAAAUGUAUACAGUAGAAGGUGGAAUUUCCUCUCUCCUCUCAUAAUCCCAUUUCCCCAAGAAAACCAUUAUCCCGCCAGACUUUAAAAGAAAUGCAUGUGUAUGUAUGCCCAGACAUUUUCUGCUGCAAGGCUCUCAGGCCCCUCAGAAUGUCCUCCAGUUCUUUCUGGAAGUCACCAGAAGGGUGCCUCAACUGUGUCGGUAAGCCUGUCUGUUGGUUGUGUCUCCAUAUGGCAACCUGUCUGUUUCCCUUGUUCCCUGCUUCUUGUGUGUCUGCUGCUCAUGGAAGCUUGGAAAAGUUAACAGACGCCAAACACCAAAGUCCAUGCCAUGGGUGCUGUCUCCAAAGUUUCCAAUUUUUUUUUUUUAAACUUUGCCCAGCCUUUUGAGGCCUGUUUAUUGACAUGCGCAGACCUAUACCCGCGGGGCCUGGAACUUCUCCUCAGCACCACCGCCAGGCCCAUCAGGAACUUAUCCCACUCCGUCAGUAUCUCCACUGUGAACUUGCCCUGCAACAAGAUCGGACACUGGACAGCAGUGGGAAGUUGGUGGGGCCAAGCGUAGCCCGCGUGCAGGCUGUCCACAUGCCGCAUGGUCAUGCCCACCGCCCCCAGCAUGCGUGGCCCGUGGCUCAGCAGCUGCGCCUUGUCAGGGUGGCUGCCCAGGGCCUUGAAGCAGGCCUUGGUGCGGGGGUACACCGUGAGGAGGCUGCGGGAGCAGGGGCGAGUGGGGAGGGCGAUCCCUCCAGCGCCUGCACCUCAAAGUUACCAAUUCUUGUUCGGCAGAGUUGGGAUGUUGAGUUUCAGGCAGAGCUGGGGAAAGGGCCACCUGCUCACUGUGUGCCAGCCACCCUUUGUCACUGGGGGCCCCAAGCCUGCUCUGCUUAUAUCCUCAGUCUCAAGACAUCUCUACCGAAUGGUCCCAUCAGCUUCUCUGCUAAAGCCUCUUGCAGGGGCCGCAAAUUCAGUCUGGGGGUCAAGUGGAAGGGGAGAUGCUCUUCCCUCUCAUUGCUCUUUUCCGUUUUUUCUGCCUCUGCCCACCCUCACAAACAAAAGUCUCUUCCCUCCUGUCCUUUAUCUUCAAAGAGUUUAUAUUAAUGUGUAGAA